CUUUAUCACUGAAAAGAGAGGGAAUUCAUUUCGAAUUACUAGUUACCUUUAACAGGCUGUUCACUUAGGAUAUCACUUUGGUUGGAAAGUCUAUUGCAUUAGAUGGAUGAGCCCUGAGAUGAAAGUUCAGUCCUACACCUGAAGGAAGACGGUUUCAUUUUAGUUGCCAGAUAAGAUGAUAUUCCAGCACCAGGUGGCCACCCAAGGAUCAAAACAGCAGGUAUGUUAAGAUAAGAUUGUGUUUUGUUUGUAUGCCUUUUUGUCCAAGUUUCCUCUAGGUGGAGUCCCAAGGAUCAGAAGGACAGGUAUGUUAAGAUAAGAUUGUGUUUUGUUUGUAUGCCUUUUUGUCCAAGUUUCCUCUAGGUGGCCUACCAAGGAUCAAGAAGGACAGGUAUGUUAAGAUAAGAUUGUGUUUUGUUUGUAUGCCUUUUUGUCCA